ACAUUGAAUGAUUAUUGUGUAUAAAAAGUAGAAGUGUGGGCACGUCAAUAUUGAAUACACCAAGAAUUGUACACAAGAAAACAUGUAUCAAACGAUUAAAAUAUUUCUUUUAUUUUUCUCCGUCAUUUCGAUACCACGUUGUUUUAUAACACUCGCUGAGGCAUCUUUUGAAGGAUCCAUCCAAGUGUGGUACCUUCUACAGCAGACGAUGCAGAUUCCCUCAGGUAGCAGCUAUGUGCCCACUGGGGCGUUACCAGUGGAAAGAUGCAAUUGGAAUAGUAAUUUCAACUGCGAUCUGCAUCGUGCCCCACCACUUUCCAUUGCGCUAUCUUCGUCAUGGACAUUUAAUAUUCUGUACCACGAAGUUAUAUUUUCUAUUAUGAGGAAAGCGAGGAAUUACGAUACACCGUGGCGAGUUCGGCUUGAUUGAAGAUUUUUGUUUCAUAUGAAUCCGUCGGCAUUCACGACAUAAUAAAAAAAUAUGGUUGAAGGCGUGACGAAAUAAGAUAAAUACACUCUACAUCAAUUUUUUUAUUUCGUAAGUUUCUGUAUUUUGCCAACUGCAAUAUUCUUAUCUCAAAAAUAUGGCCGAAGCAGACAUUAAACCGGUGAUUUCAUCAGAGUUUGUCAGUCGUUUCUGAUAAAAUUAUUUGCAAAAUAUUAAAUACAUGCAUGAAAAUAUCCAUGAAAAACGUGUGAUGUAUGCGUAGAAUGUAGAACGUGUAUUUUUGUAUUACACCGGUUUCCGUGGAAAAACAUGAAAAAAGAAUGAGAGCGGUAACGAUGCAAAUUCUCGUUACUCUGUAUUUCACCGAUGAAAUAUUAGAAAUUCUCCUGAUUUCUUGUCGUUCAUGUUGAUUUAUUGUAGAGAAGAUUUCUUUGCAAAUAUGAGUUUGUAACUAAACCCUCGUUCUCGGUUUUUUAAAAGGAAGGAAUAAGGUAAUAACAAUCUACUGCGUUGUUGCUUUAAUUAAUUUGUGAACGAUGUAUAAAUAAAUGAAAUGGAGCAACAACAGUAUGUACAAUGAUGGUAUUGCAAUAAGUAUUAUUAUUUUGAUACGAUAUACGGUAAAUAGGUCGCUUUAAAAUAUUUAGAGUUUCAUAAAUUGACGUGUAAACAAUAAACAGAUGACGGUAAAUAAAUUCUUGGUUUUGUACUCGUGACACGGAGCGUGUCAUUCGUUCAUCGUCAAUGACUGGCAAAAAUCCUCGAUAAAUAGAAGUGAGCGUUAAAAGCCGGUCAACAGUUUUUGUCGUUAGAAACAAAAUUUACACACCGUACAUUUUAUUCUGUUAUUUAAAUCCCAAUAAAUUUCACGACCUCCUUUCUUUCUCUUCGUUAUUGUAUUAUAUUAAUGUUCAUUAAUGGCGUUAGACUCGCGCAUGAAUAAAUUUCUGGAAUCGCGUUCUAUAUUUCUCUUUGAUAAUG
rnacentral:misc_RNA from 1 species